GGACAAGUAGCUCAGUUGGUAGAGCAACGGACUCUUAAUCCGUGGGUCAAGGGUUCGAGCCCCUUCUUGUCCACUA
rnacentral:tRNA from 1 species